AGCCAACCGACGAGCUAAAAGAAAUUGUUUUGUUUACAUCGUCCACCAGCUGGGAGGUGGACCUUGAGGUUGUUUACAUUGAUUCACCAUAACCUCUCUCAUACAAGGUUGUGUGGACAAGUUUCAAGUUAUAAAUGCUGAACACUUAUUGCUGUGAUUCUGUCCAAGAAAUGUGAUGCACUUGGGAACCAUGUGAGAUCUCACCAGCCUUUGUUACUACUCAAGAAGUCUUUUAGUACAGCACCAGAGAGUGUUGGUCACCAGCCAUAAAUAUGCCAACUCACCCUGUCUAUGCUAUUGGGGGUCUGUAUCCUAGACGCCGCCAGCAGGUCUGGAAAGAUCAUGACAAAAAUCUCAUGUCAGGGGUAGUUAGUAUUGUGGUGAUAGUCGUAGUUUGUGCAUGUGUGAGUCAACCACAGUGGUUCUGGCUGGAUGGAGGAGGAUGCAGUACACACACCAUUGGUCUCUAUCUCUUCUUCCACCCGGGAAGGUUCCAGCCAGUUGAAGGGACAGAACUUAGCCCCUCCCAGUCUCAUGUGAUAUAUUACACAAAUGGUGAAGUGGCGAACUGCGUGAAGU